rnacentral:rRNA from 1 species
GAUGAACGCUGGCGGCGUGCCUAAUACAUGCAAGUAGAACGCUGAAGGAAGGAGCUUGCUCUUUCCGGAUGAGUUGCGAGCGGGUGAGUAACGCGUAGGUAACCUGCCUGGUAGCGGGGGAUAACUAUUGGAAACGAUAGCUAAUACCGCAUAACAGUAGAUGUUGCAUGAUAUCUACUUAAAAGGUGCAAUUGCACCACUACCAGAUGGACCUGCGUUGUAUUAGCUAGUUGGUGAGGUAACGGCUCACCAAGGCGACGAUACAUAGCCGACCUGAGAGGGUGAUCGGCCACACUGGGACUGAGACACGGCCCAGACUCCUACGGGAGGCAGCAGUAGGGAAUCUUCGGCAAUGGAAGGAAGUCUGACCGAGCAACGCCGCGUGAGUGAAGAAGGUUUUCGGAUCGUAAAGCUCUGUUGUAAGAGAAGAACGAGUGUGAGAGUGGAAAGUUCACACUGUGACGGUAUCUUACCAGAAAGGGACGGCUAACUACGUG